rnacentral:rRNA from 1 species
GACGAACGCUGGCGGCGUGCUUAACACAUGCAAGUCGAACGGAAAGGCCCUGCUCUUGUGGGGUGCUCGAGUGGCGAACGGGUGAGUAACACGUGAGUAACCUGCCCUUGACUUUGGGAUAACUUCAGGAAACUGGGGCUAAUACCGGAUAGGAGCUCCUGCUGCAUGGUGGGGGUUGGAAAGUUUCGGCGGUUGGGGAUGGACUCGCGGCUUAUCAGCUUGUUGGUGGGGUAGUGGCUUACCAAGGCUUUGACGGGUAGCCGGCCUGAGAGGGUGACCGGCCACAUUAGGACUGAGAUACGGCCCAGACUCCUACGGGAGGCAGCAGUGGAGAAUAUUGCACAAUGAGGGGAAGCCUGAUGCAGCAACGCCGCGUGCGGGAUGACGGCCUUCGGGUUAUAAACCGCUUUCGCCUGUGACGAAGCGUGAGUGACGGUAAUGGAUAAAGAAGCACCGGCUAACUACGUG